rnacentral:rRNA from 1 species
UUCCGGUUGAUCCUGCCGGACCUGACUGCUAUCGGAUUGGCACUAAGCCAUGCGAGUCAUUGUAACAAUUCCGGCGGACGGUUCAGUGACACGUAUUCAACCUAACUCCUGGGCGUGGAUAACCUCGGGAAACUGCAAAAUAAACCACGAUAGAUCAUAGUGCCUGGAAUGUCUUAUGGUCCAAACAGUUUACUGCCAUGGGAUGGGACUGCGGCCUAUCAGCUUGUUGGUGAGGUAAUGGCCCACCAAGGCGAUUACAGGUACGGGCUCUGAUAGGAGAACCCCGGAGAUGGGUACUGAGACACGGACCCAGGCCCUAUGGGGCGCAGCAGGCAAGAAACCUUACCAAUGUGCGAAAGCACGACUGGGUCACUCCGAGUGAUUCCUGAUAAAGGAGUCUUUUGCCUGUCCUAAAAGCACAAGUGAAUAAUGGGUGGGCAAGUCUGGUGUCAGCCGCCGCGGUAAUACCAACACCUCGAGUGGUCAGGACGUUUAUUGGGCCUAAAGCAUCCGUAGCCGGCUCUGCAAGUCUUCGGUUAAAUCCACCUGCUCAACAGAUGGGCCGCUGGAGAUACUACACAUCUAGGGAGUGCGAGAGGCAGACGGUGUUCAGUGGGUAGGGGUAAAAUCCUCUGAUCCAUUGAGGACCACCAGUGGCAAAGGCGGUCUGCCAGAACACGUUCGACGGUGAGGCAUGAAAGCUGGGGGAGCAAACCGGAUUAGAUACCCGGGUAGUCCCAGCUGUAAACGAUGCAAACUCGGUGAUGCAUUGGCUUAUGNCCAAUGCA